GUGCCGCCGGUAAAAAACAAAAACAAAAAGAAUUUCUAUUUUUUUUUUUUUUUAAAGAGUAUACGGUUUUUUCUACAAUUGUUGACGAACAGAUGGCUUACCUCGAGGGUGUGAUGGUCGAUGGCGCCCUUGUUAAGCCGUAGCAGGACAGGCGGAAGUGCUACAGGAGUGAUUUCGAUGAAGAGGAAGUCGUUGAUGCGCAUCUUGACGAUGAGGGGAGGCCCGACCCAACCGUGUGCAGCAAGGGAGCCCCUCUCAUUCUUGUCGAUCUUCAACUCCUUCUUUGCCUCUUUGACGGCUGUUUCGACAGCGACUUCUGCCUGAUGAAACUAACUUUGGCAUUCUCUCCUUCGGGGAGGCUGGCGUGUAUCGACAGAUGGGUCUGCGUAGCGCCCUCCUGGUAGUCUUUCAUCGAACGCAAUUUGUAACCAGGGAAUGUAUACUGCAGCAUGCGCACUUUCUUCUCCUCUGGGUCGAUUAUAGCCGCCUCGUAACUGUUGUAGUUCAUGCUGUAACGCUCCCUGUUAUGAAAUUUGGUAUACUGGAGGAGGUGCUAGAAAAAACAAAACAAACAACAACGUAGAACCAUCCCAUCGUAUUAAAGCUUAUAACUAACCUUUUCGUCCUUGUCCAUCGAUGCCCUUUUUCUACUCAACGCCCUCCCGUCCAUCGCGCCCCC